rnacentral:lncRNA from 1 species
GCUUGGAGAGUCUCACGUUGACCGGCUUGGCUUCGGUUCGGGGUGAGGAACGGAGAGAAGAGAAGCUUGUGUGUAUCCGGAGCCGCGACAUGGAAAUAGUCGCGAUAAAUCGCUCGCUACGAACUAUUCCAUUAUAAAGCAGCAUGCCUCGAGGUAUUCUGUUCGAGAUGAUUGGGUGAGAUUGGCUGCACCAUCGAGAUCGGUUAACGAUAAACUUGGAUCAUCAAAGAAGAUAAGAGG